GUCCCCUCGAUUGACUUAAAAGUCAGCCGUUUAGCCCAUCUUCCGUUAUUACAAAUUAGCCACACUAAACGAUCUUAUCCGCUGCAAUAGAAUCUCAUCGUAUCUUUAAUAAAUCGUUUAAUUGUAUUUGUACGUCACCCAGUUUAAGUUCAUUAUUAACUAUACCCGAGUAUACGUAUAGGUACUUAUCGUGGAAUUUCGUUUUCAAAUCGGUAUACAAGACAAAAACAGGUAAGACAAUAUUGUAUAAAAUUCAGAUAUUUAUAUACUAUUACACUCAUUAGAAACUAUAUAAGAAACUAUAGAAGGAUUAAAUAAUUCCUCAUAUUCAAUAAUAUUAUUAUUAUUAGGUACCUACCUAUAUAUACGAUAUUUUAAUUCUAGAAAUCUUACUAUGGUCGUAGGAAUAACCAGGGGUGUCGCUAAGAAUUUUUUUGGUUUAGGCACACUAUAACCUUCUAUUCAUAAACGGGAGUGGACACUUCUCCCAAUUUUUGUAUUAGUCUUCUAUAAUUUCAAAGAUAUAAACGAUUUAACUUAAGCAAAUAAGUAGAUCAUUUUAAAAGAUGUAAUUAUUUAUCUGAAUACAAGAGAGUUAUACAAAAUAAAAUUAUAAUUACUAUACUCGUAACUUAUAAUAUACAUUUAUAAAAUAUUUUCAAAGUAAAAAUGUCAAUUAUCUUUUCUUUAUGAUAGCAAACUCGUCAAUAAUAUCCGACGGGUUAUCCAUAAACUGUCUACUUAUUUCCCUUUCUAUGAAAUGUAAUAUCAAAUCAUUUAAUCUAGAACUUUCAGCUGACACACUAUAGAUAUAAGAAAUACAAUAACUAGUUCAAUUAUUUUUUUUUAAUUCUUCAAAUCCAAAGUGACAACUUGUACUUGAUAAAACAAUUUAGAAAGACCAGAACUAGAUGAAAAUAAAUUUUUUCCCAGUGUACAUCGAUAUUUUAAUUUAAUAAGAAAUUCAUCGGAAUGAUAAAAUAAAAAAGUUUUUGCAAAAUUACAUAAUUUUUCACUGUCUAAAAAUUAUUUUCUCACUGGUUAUUUAAACAUGUAAUCUCUGCACUAAUACUGUUGUAAAUACGAGUGUAUUAUUUUAUAUGUUAUUGUUUUUUUUUUUUAUAGAAAAUCUGGGUAGGCCUGGGUUUACUUGGCCUAUCUACUUGCUACGCCCCUGGGAAUAACAUAAUACCGAGGGCCUAUCCAGUAUCUAUUUAAAAUUUGGGCAUUUACCAUAAAUGUAAUUAUGGGGUUAGACUGCUUAGCGUCAUCCAAGACCAUGAUUGAAAUCGUGAACAUCAUAAUCUCUACAAAUUUAUUUCAUGCUUUAGACCUCUUAAAAUUUUUACUUUAGUUAUGGAAUUUAAAUAAAUAACAUACCUAUUUAUUUGUAUUGAAACUAAAAGUAAAUUUAAAGGUUGAUUUUUUUUUCGGAUCCGUCUUUACAUAAUACUAUAGAUUUAAAUAAUGUUUAUAAAUGGAUCGAUUAUUAAACUACACCGUUAAUAUUUGUCCGUUAUAAAUAUUAUAUAAUAUUAGCUAUUUAAGACAAGUGAUUAAGUAUAUUAACAAAAAUAUAACUAGCGUAUUUCGAAUUGAACGAUUCGUAAUUUUGGAUUUUGUUUAAAAUAACAAUAAUUAUUGAUUUUUCAUUGAUACGUUUUAUUUUCGCGGAAAACAAUUUUUCGUAUCGAUAAAAUUACUUUUAACGUUUUGUCUACAGCAGCAAGAUAAUUAUAUACAUGUACCUACAUGUUUAUUAUUAUUUCUUAUCUUGCUGCCUCAGCCGUAUGGUAAAUUAGAAAACAGCAAGAAAUUCAGUGAAGUGAGCAAUAAUUGCAUUUUUAAUUAUAACAGUUUACAUUUAAUUUAUCUAUUUUAAUAAAAUUUAAAACGAAUUACUAUCUUGCACAUUUUAUAACCCAACCACCGAAAACAGUGACCUGCUCAAUGUGCAAAGUCUGUAGAGUAGGUAGGUAUCCAAUUCUUUUUUAGAAAAAGUACAAAUAUCAUAAUAUUGGACUAAUAACUCAUAAAUACAAUACGACUAAUUAACGAUAUGUUUUAUAAUUAUAAUAUUAUUACUUAGCUUGCUUAUUUAGUUAUUACGUCAUGCAUAUUUAAGUUAGGUACAGCAUUUUUUAAAAUAUACCUAUACUCUAGAUAUUAUAGUGAAUAGUUACUGAUAUUGUGGUAAAUGAUGCAAAUUACGAUUAUUUUUUUUUAUACGGGACAAAGUACAAAUGAUGCAAAUUAAAAAUCAAUAUUUAUUUAUCUAUAAGUGUUACUAAUUGUUACAUGUAGGAAGUUAUUAAAGUUGUUAACUGUAUCAGUUUUAGGUGUUUUUUUUUUUAUUAUUGUAAUUAAUAAUAAAUACUAAUUAUGCAAUAUUUAUAAAAUCGUUAUUCAUACAUUUUUUUUUUUUUUUAAUUAUAGCUUUAUAAAAAAAAAAAGACGGAUAUACCUAGCACGAUGGGUGGGCUGUUGUAUGUGGUGAAAAGUUGGGAAGGUAGGAUAUAGAGGAUAAUUUAAUGUAUAUCUGUACGCAACGAAUAAUUUUUGCUAACGAAAAACGAUUCUGGGCGGGAUUCGGUUGUACAUGUUUAAAAGGCCGUAAUGUUUACGAUUGUCAAAAUUGUAUAUUAAAAUUUGUGUACAUAAAAAAAAAAUGUAUAUCAUAUUAAACUUAACGUUUUCUUAUUGGCCACUUAGUAAAACUUAUAAUGAACCUCUUGUUAAAUGUUCAAGCAUUUCUGUUUAGUCUAACAAUUUUUUCCAUAGAGAACCUACCAAAUAAAAAUUACGUAAAAAACUCGCAAAAUGAAAAUGUAUAUGUUUAGCUCGAAAAUGUUUUAAAAAUUUUACCACGUCUAGAAAAAGCAAAUAUAUGUUUUCAGUCAAAUUUUCAAGUACCCACGAACAUUUUAAAUUGAAUUACAAAAAUUGAAAAUAAUUAAAGUAAAAACAUUAAUUAAAUAUGCAAUAGAAGAGGUCUCUUGUCGUUUUUCUAUUGAAGCAAUAUUUCAGUUAUAAAACAUCGUGCAUAAAAAUUUGAAAUAAUAAAACGCCGUGGCGCCAUAAAUUUGUUCGUUUACAUUUUUCAUCUUUUUCCGGUUUUCCCAAUUAUUGUGAAAACUACUAGGAAAAUCUAAAAACUACCUCUCUAAUGUAUCAACUAGAUAGAAUAUUCUUUCAAAAAUAAUUUUAGACUUAAUACUUUGGAGCAAAUUUUCUUUUUGAAGUUGUUCAUAGACAGAAAAAAAAAUAUCAUAAUAAUUUUACUAUAUGUUUUUUUUUUUUUUAAUAAAUCCAAUAGAUCCAAAAAACAGCAGUCUGGUUGAAGCAGGAAAUUGAGUAUUAUUAUUUUUAAAUGUCAAAAUUGAAAUUGGUUACAUUUUUAUUAUAGUCGUAUGCGAUCGUACUUAUUAAACACGAAAUAUACGUAUAUCUAAAUGUAUUUAUGGUGUAUCCAUGUAGCCGUGUAUAUAGGUAAUCUCUUAUAUUCUCUGAAGUAGAUACCUGUAAAAUAACAUCUGCAAGUUAAUUUAAUUUUUAUACUUUUUAACUCAAAUAGCAUAGUUUUUAAUUUUUUGCGCUCGGAAUAAUAGUAUGUGUAUAGAAUGCGAUAAUUAAUAUUUAUUAGACUUUCGGUUGUACCAAGCACAUGUUCCGGUUACUCAGAUAUAGAUAUACCCAAAACCAGUGGCGUGUUGAACUCAUUUGUUUGAUGAGCAAAAUUGUAUACAAGGUACCCACCUACCCCACUUGUCCAUCCUAACAAAAUUUCCACCACAGCAAAAAAUAAAAUACGUAUAUUCGUAGAGAUUUGUAUAAUCGGAUGUACCUAUUUAAUUAGUUAAUUUAUUACACUCGUUAUCUUACAUCUUGAUUUGUAUAGUAGUGUAUGCAGAUUUAAUAAUGUAUACAAUAUUGUUGGCAGUGGGGAAGCCAAGGAUUCUGUAUUAUUAUUAUUAUAAUUAAUAUUAUGCGGGUGUAAGCAAUCGCGAUCGUUAGCAAAUUUGUAAAAACCAACUAGCUUAUCUGUGUUUUCCUAAUAAUGCACCGUAACCGACCGACGACGACCGUCCGCAUCGACGACUGAUGUUUUCGACGUACUAAUUUACUAAAAAGUACUACAUUUUUGAACUAUAAUUGACAUGUUUUAUGCUGUAGAGACGUAGAGUGUAGGACGUAUGUUACAUAAGUAAGACACAUAUUCGUUUACGUAGUAUAUUUCUAUUUUCUAUGAUAUACCUAGUCAUCAAUGCGGCUAGGUAUUUUGUAGCAGGGGGACCUAACCUAACCUAAUCCAACCACGAAAAAUAUUGGAGGAGAAAUUGCUCCAAAAUAAUACCAUCAACACGCCACUGCCCAGAACAAUAAUUAUAUAUACUAAACGUACAGAUAGUAUUUACAUAAUUAUUUUAAUUGUAAUAAAAACAAUUUCUUGAUUUUAAAAUAAUAUGAGAUGCGUUACAGAUGAAUCACGGCUUUUAUGUAUGCAUAAUAUUUAUAAUUUAUAUGAUAAUUAAUUUAAAUCUAUAUCAAAUAUAAGAUCAAAUACCCAUACAUGAUUAUUUUUCAACAUUUUUAAAAUGUAAUUUACUACAACUUUUUAUUAUUGACACAUUUCAUACACGUACAUAUUAUCGGAUAAUAUUUUGAAUUUACAGUUUUCUGUUUAUGACUAUUAUAUGACUAAAAGUAAUACAAUUAUAACACGGUAUUACGGUUUUAGUUUUAAACGAUGACGUCUGCAACGAGAGUGCAGUAGGUACUUGUAUUUAUUGAUUGUUGCAAAUAUAAUACCUACGUAGUUAUAAAAAUAGGUAGGUGUUUACUGUUUUAGAACUUUAGAAUAAGUGACAUACUGUUUCUUUAAUUCCGUCUCGGCUUGCUAUAUGCUACUUAAACCUAUUAUUAGAUCGGUAAUCGAACACCUACAAUAAUAAUUACGAGUAGUACUUUAUAGACCUGCACGAUGUACUAUACAAUGUAAUUAUUUCGCGCGGUUGUUUGCGUCUAUAUAGGUAUAUAAAUUUUUAAAAUCUGGAUUCUGAGUUUCACGUCUAUCAUAACAUAGUAUUUUAAAUAAUGUUAUAGGUUUACUACUAUUAUGUAUAGGUAGGUGUUUAUUUUUUUAACCGACAAUAGCGGAUAAUUUGUUUUAACAUUACCACCCUUCACUAUAUACCGUCAUCGUUUAUUGAUUAAUUCAAAUAGGUACAGCUUUAUACGAGGAUGAACGAACUGACCCACCACUACAUCCCCAAUCAAUACAGCAAUGAGUGACUAUACACAAUGAACAUAAGGAAAAUAACAAGUGUAGAAAAAUUUUCGCGUUCUGAAUUUUUCCGGCCCUCUGCUCGAAGAACCUGG